rnacentral:rRNA from 1 species
GUGGGUAACCUGCCUGUAAGACUGGGAUAACUCCGGGAAACCGGAGCUAAUACCGGAUAGUUCCUUGAACCGCAUGGUUCAAGGAUGAAAGACGGUUUCGGCUGUCACUUACAGAUGGACCCGCGGCGCAUUAGCUAGUUGGUGAGGUAACGGCUCACCAAGGCGACGAUGCGUAGCCGACCUGAGAGGGUGAUCGGCCACACUGGGACUGAGACACGGCCCAGACUCCUACGGGAGGCAGCAGUAGGGAAUCUUCCGCAAUGGACGAAAGUCUGACGGAGCAACGCCGCGUGAGUGAUGAAGGUUUUCGGAUCGUAAAGCUCUGUUGUUAGGGAAGAACAAGUGCAAGAGUAACUGCUUGCACCUUGACGGUACCUAACCAGAAAGCCACGGCUAACUACGUGCCAGCAGCCGCGGUAAUACGUAGGUGGCAAGCGUUGUCCGGAAUUAUUGGGCGUAAAGGGCUCGCAGGCGGUUUCUUAAGUCUGAUGUGAAAGCCCCCGGCUCAACCGGGGAGGGUCAUUGGAAACUGGGAAACUUGAGUGCAGAAGAGGAGAGUGGAAUUCCACGUGUAGCGGUGAAAUGCGUAGAGAUGUGGAGGAACACCAGUGGCGAAGGCGACUCUCUGGUCUGUAACUGACGCUGAGGAGCGAAAGCGUGGGGAGCGAACAGGAUUAGAUACCCUGGUAGUCCACGCCGUAAACGAU